rnacentral:lncRNA from 1 species
AAACUAAACAAUACAAAUUUUAAUAUAAGACUGAUGAUUUUACAAUGAUGUAGACAGUUUUGUAUUAGUAAUUUAUUUUUCUUUCCAAAUUCUAGGUCAUAUUUAAACAUUGGAUUAUUCGUCAUUGAAAUAUAUAUUGCGAAAGAAAACUGAAUAGUGGAUCGAUCCAAAUGGAAAAAUAUCCUGAUUGGUGUCACUUCUAGAGUCUAAAAAAAGUUAUUGUUUGCGCCGAUCCGCGGAACAUUCCAGCUCAACGAGGUGUGUUAUACCCUUUUCGUCGAGAGCCACAUCGGGAAGGAAUUUCUGAUCUUUAUAAGAAGCAUCCACGCAGAAGAACAAACAAACGUCGACGGAGAAUAAUUUGUUAAUUAAAAAUUACAAGCAAUGUUAACAUUUGUUCAUUAUCCCCACUACGAAUACGAGGAAUUUAUCAAUAUCUUUUCGUAUCGCGUUUCGUUCGAAGGCGAUAUUGUUU